rnacentral:rRNA from 1 species
CCCUUAGAUGUUCGGGACCGCACGCGCGCUACACUGAAGGAAUCAGCACGUCUUUCUCCUUGUCCGAAAGGACUGGGUAACCCGCUGAACCUCCUUCGUGCUAGGGAUUGGGGCUUGUAAUUCUUCCCCAUGAACGAGGAAUUCCCAGUAAGCGCGAGUCAUAAGCUCGCGUUGAUUACGUCCCUGCCCUUUGUACACACCGCCCGUCGCUACUACCGAUUGGAUGGUUUAGUGAGAUCCUCGGAUUGGUCCCGGAGCGGCCUCUGGUCGUGCCGGAGUGCCGAAAAGAAUGUCGAACUUGAUCAUCUAGAGGAAGUAAAAGUCGUAACA